rnacentral:rRNA from 1 species
UCCUACGGGGGGCAGCAGUGAGGAAUAUUGGUCAAUGGUCGGGAGACUGAACCAGCCAAGCCGCGUGAGGGAUGAAGGUACAGAGUAUCGUAAACCUCUUUUGUCAGGGAACAAAGGCGGGGACGUGUCCCCGGAUGAAUGUACCUGAAGAAAAAGCAUCGGCUAACUCCGUGCCAGCAGCCGCGGUAAUACGGAGGAUGCGAGCGUUAUCCGGAUUUAUUGGGUUUAAAGGGUGCGCAGGCGGUCUGUUAAGUCAGCGGUCAAAGCCCGGGGCUCAACCCCGGCCCGCCGUUGAAACUGGCAGG